GGUGGGGUGCCCGAGUGGUUAAAGGGAGCAGACUGUAAAUCUGCCGCCGUACGGCUACGGAGGUUCGAAUCCUUCCCCCACCA
rnacentral:tRNA from 1 species